AAUGAACGGCACAAUAGGCGAAGAAGUAUUCCAGCCAUUUGGGAAGCUUGAAGCUUUUGUGGGCGAGAUUUCUAUGGAAAGAUAGAGUUAUUCCCACACCGGUGACAAAGUAAAGGGCUACACCCAACCAAAACGCAGACCAGGUGAAGUAAAAUGGUGCGAGAAGAGCAAUGAGAUGAACAACAGAAAGGGUGAUGACACUAGCGAUGUCGACGCCAUUCCAUUGUCUCCCCAGAAAAUAUACAGGCUUCUGCACCACCCAAAGUAGCCUUGCCAUCUUCUUUAAGCUAAGCUUAUAUUAUCAAAGCUGCUUUGCUAGCUUCUCUCUUCUGUAGUUGUGUGUAGAAGUAUCAGUGUUUGCACAUAUAUAUACACAAAUACAAUAUACAUAUGAAGGGGGAAGCUAGUUAUGGGAGUUGCUUGUUAGAUUGAGAUAUUGGACUUGCAUUUACUUCCUCAUGUUCUGCAGGCAACCUACCGAUGUAACGAUGCAAUAACUAUGCCUGGCUAUUUACCUGAAGACAAAUACUUGUGUGUCUUAAGAUAUAGAUAUCUUAACCACAUGGUUGCUUGGAUCAUAAACAAGAGAAGGUAGAAUGGUCCAAAAGGGAGUGGUUCAUGAUCGACAUGCAUGUGAAAAGCAGAGGGUCACUUAUUGUUCAUGUCUAGUAGGUGAAUAUAUAUACCUAAUCUGAUAAUCUAACCCACGUCUGGAAGGAUUAUUUGUGUAAAGCAAGAGGCAAAGAAACUAUGGAGCUGUUAUGGAAGUGCAGGCACGACCGAGACUCCAAACUGCAGUUGACUAUUAGAACCUCAUGCAUGUUAGUUUGUUAAUUUCUGUACACUUAUAUUUGGCUUCAGCUCCAGAAAGUUUCUUCGAAUUUGUCCUCAAAGUUUUUAUUAUAUAAAAUUCGUUUGGAAAAAAAAGAAGUGGAUUAAAGUUAUGGUGGGUGGACUGAGCGAAGAUUUCAUGAAGAACAUUAGGCGUGGUAAAGUUCAACGUGCGAGGGGUAAAGAUUUUAUGAAGAAGUUGGACAUGGUAAACUUUCUUGCUCUUGCAAAUCUUGGUCACUCAACUAUUAUUGAUGACAGGGUUCAUAGGCUUAAUCUUUCAGUGUUGCCUACUUUUAACUAUGAUUUUCAUAGCUUAAGUUGUCCUUGGAGAAUUUCUUAUAUUUAUAUGGUAUUUUUGUUAUAUAUGAAAGUAAUUUAUUUAAAGAAAAUUUUACUAGUAUAAUGUAACAAUAAAAUCAAUGUCAUACCAUCAUGUAUGAACCUAUCUUCUAGUGUCGGACAACAGAGCUAUGAACUCUCCAGUACGUAAGAGACUAGAAAAUUGGUCAUAGCGAUCAUGGAGACUCUAAAACCGACACAAUGCCAAUAAAGAUGGUAGAAUAACGCCAGGAUAACAAAUGGCUAAUGGCUGCAAACACACGAAGGAUGAAGUAGACGAAGUGGCCUAAACCCUUAUAAACCUACAUGUAAGGUCUCAUAUUCCCAAUGUGGGAUUUAUAUCUCAACACGCCCCCGCACGCAUGUGUGGCGAAUCUUCAAGUCAUACACGUGGACAACUAUUUGGGUGAUGUGGUGUUUGUGUGGCCAUUAGGCUUCACACGUGGACGUGGGUAACCCACUCUGAUACCAUGAUAAAGUAGUCUAGGGUUCACAUCUAAAACCAAUUGGUAAUGGAUGAAGUCGGCUCAAACCCUUAUAAACCCACAGAUAAGGUCUCAUAUUUCCAAUGUGGGAUUGAUAUCUUAACAGUGUGGGAUUGAUAUCUCAACAGUACAUGUGCACAAAUAUUCAACUCCGCCCUCGUGAUGAGUGAAUACACAUGAUUAUUUAAGUGAAAUACGACAUUAUUAAUUAUCACCGGUGCAUUAUGAUUAACUUUCUACAGACUACAUGAUGUUGAUGAGUUUCUAUUGGAUUCUUGUAUGAUUGAAGAGCGGAGUUCAGCUAGUCAUUCAUUUUUGACAACACCAAUCGAUACAUUUCUAGCAUAAGAAAACUUAAUAGCUAGUUAUUGCGGACUGGGGCUAUCAGGCUUUGAGCAAUAAUAAUGUACAUGACUACAUGUGGUUGCGAGCAUGCUCACAGUGUUAAUUAGGUGACUAUUGUAUCACGAUAUUUAUUUUGGUUCUUGAUUGGGUAUGGUAUGUCUGAUGGCAUUGGUCCGAAGGACACAGAAGAAUGAGAUACGAAGGAGUCAUGCAACCCUUAAGCAGCGAUGACUCUAGAUUACUUAGAAGAUGUCCAGUUACUAGGUAGCUGGAAUUGACUUGAAUGAGUUUGAUCAGAAAAAAAAAAAAAUCAAUGCGAUCUUACUGAAUCCGUGAGAAAGAUAAACUCGAUCUUAUAUUGAUAAAAUCAUGUUGAACUUAUAUGGUUCAACACAGAAACAAAAGCAAUGUUGGAAUACAGAAAAUAGAUAUAUGUAGUACUCAUACACGCUUAGGUCUCCCUUGAAUCAUUUCACUUUGGUUUCGAACCUUCCCUCCUGCUCCAUGCUACUGACUUUGUUUGAUAAAGCUUUUCGGUUUUUCUGAAGCUCAGUCGGGAGUUUAACGUCAGUUGCCAAACCAACCAUUUUAAGAAACCUUAUCAAAUACCAAGUAAUAUCGAUUUGCCACCAUUCGAAACCAUGUUGAGCUGAGUACUCAAAAGCAUGGUGAUUAUUAUGCCAACCUUCUCCAUGAGCUAGCAAUCCAAACAACCUAAACCACACAAUUUCAUAAUUAGAUUUCAUUACAUGUAGAGAAACAGAAACUAUAUAUAUAUACGAUUUGUAAUCAUAUCAAGUGCGUAUACCAGUUGUUUUUGGACAGAUCACCAGUAUCCCAUACUUGGUUUCCCCAUAUGUGGCAGAUCGAAUUUAUCGAAAGUGUUAUAUGGAGAACAAAUAUUGUUCUCACAGCCUACAAAUAAUCAAAAGAAUUAAACAUAGUUACGGAUUUGUUAAAUAGAAAGGACGAUGCAUUUAGAUAUUAGCAAAUGUAUAUAAGAGAAGUUUAAUUACCAGUGCCCAAACUAAAUAAGGCAUUCCUCCUAUGCAAUAGAACACAACUCCACAAGCAAUACAGUGAAAAGGGUAAGUGUAAUGAAGAAACCUAUAGAAGCUUUGUUUCUUCAAAUCUCCAACAUUGUAUAGUUUUCCAUCAUACUGCACAAUUUCAAAUUUAAUUAACAAUAAGUACGUGUUAAUUCAACAACAAAAUUAGGCAUGUAAUUAAUCAAGUGAGGAGAACAUGAGAUUUCUACGUACACUCCCAAAACGUUUACGAAAAUCAAAAAUCCAGCCAAUAUGACUAAACCAGAAACCCUUAAGAGGAGUAUGAGGGUCACUCGGCGUGUCUGUAAACUGGUGAUGACUCCUGUGCGAGCUAACCCAUUCUAAUGGACUUCCCUGUAAUAUAAACACCAAAAACCAACUUCAAAACUUUGUAAUGAAGAUUGUAGUAACUAAAAGUGAAAAGAAUGAAAGCUAGAGAAUAUAUGAUGAACCUGAAGUGAAUGAACGGCACAAUAGGCGAAGAAGUAUUCCAGCCAUUUGGGAAGCUUGAAGCUUUUGUGGGCGAGAUUUCUAUGGAAAGAUAGAGUUACUCCCACACCGGUGACAAAGUAAAGGGCUACACCCAACCAAAACGCAGACCAGGUGAAGUAAAAUGGUGCGAGAAGAGCAAUGAGAUGAACAACAGAAAGGGUGAUGACACUAGCGAUGUCGACGCCAUUCCAUUGCCUGCCCAGAAAAUAUAUCGGCUUCUGCACCACCCAAGGUAGCCCUGCCAUCUUCUUUAAGCUAAGCUUAUAUUAUCAAAACUGCUUUGCUAGCUUCUCUCUUCUGUAGUUGUGUGUAGAAGUAUCACUGUUUGCACACACAUAUAUAUAUAUAUAUAUAUAUAUAUAUAUACACAUAUAUACUACUACUAUACUUACUUCUUCUACUCUACUACUCUCUCUCUCUCUCUCUCUCUCUCUCUCUCUCUCUCUCUCUCUCUCUCUCUCUCUCUCUCUAACUCAAACAAUUUGAAUACUUUUGUUUAGUCGAUCUCUCUCUCUCAUCUUAUCGAUAUGUCAUUUUCUUAUCAAAAUUGAUCUCGUUGCAAGAAACUAAUUCUUCUUAUAUGCUCAAUCUUCUCACUCCUCUCACAUAGUAGGUGAAUAUUCUAAUUCAAUUCAGUUCAAAGUCUACUAGUAUCAUGAGUUAAGUCUACCAGUAACAUGAGCAAACUGACAUUAAAAAAUAGACUUUCUGAAAAAUUAUUCUUCAUAAGAUGCAAAGUCUACUAGUAACAUGAGUUAAGUCUACCAGUAACAUGAGCUAACUAGCAUACAACAAUAGACUUUCUAGAAAAUUGUUCACUCCUAAUACUGGUCACUAGUCAUCAAUCACCUUAUUGACCACGUUGUCUAACUUGUUUUCUUUUAUGUCUGUGUUUUGCACUAUUCACGCAAUAGCAACAUACACGGCUUAAAACAGACAAAAUACACGCUCAUGGUAGCGUUUAGUGAAUUUUCAAACAUUGACUAUAUAUAUGCAGUUGAUCUGCUCAUAUUAUCCUAUAUUUCUAAGCCUCUUAUGUUUGAGAGUUGUGUUUAGUUCUCUUCUUUAUAAAUUAUUUACAUUAUUUUAUUGUUUUUGUAGGUUUGUGUCGUAGAGAGAAGAAAAUGAGCUAAAAUGCGCAAAUAAGGAUUGAAAGGCCACUGCAAUCCUAAGUCUCAGAAUCCGCCUAUGCAGAACAUCCAAACUUCUCCGAAUUACCGGGAAUUACUCAGAUCAAAUCAGACUAUGAGCCUUAUAUCAUUGGAAAGCUACAUAUGUCUACUUUUUGUAGAAGUUUACGGAUCUCAAUUUCGAUACUUCUAGACCGAGUUAUGAUAGUUUGAAUGAAGAUAGGUCAGAUCAGAAAAUCUGCUCGGAUUUGCAAGCAUUUGUGGAGAACUUAAGUUCCAUGGCACAAGAUCAUCAACUCUUAUGCUUCAAGGACAAUAAUGCAGAUGAAGAUUCAAGGAGUAAAUGUAUUCCUAGUUCUAUAAUAGAUAUCUCAAGGUUUUCUCAUUCCAUAUCAAUAAUGGAGUCUGAAUCCAAGUCUUACAAAGAAACUUGAAGCCAAAGAUGAGCAAGAAAUCUCCCCUAUAUAAAGAGCACGAAUUUCAUAGAGAAGGGGCUUCCGGGGACACAUGACAUAUUUGGAAGCUGCCAUCAUCACCAACCUUUCAUUCUUUUUCCCUUUUAGCCUUUUUAUGUUUUUCAUUGUUAUCAUCAUGUUUGUUAUGACUCUUAGUAGCUAAAUCUUUUGUUAGGGUCAUAAUGGAUUAUUAGCAUGACUAUUUGAUGUUUUCAGUUGGAUGAUUACUUAUUUAUUGGAUUGAGUUUUUAAUCUCUAUAAGAAUUGUUGCUUAUUUUAAAAUACUAGAGACUUGCGACCUUUAAGGUUUUGUUUUAAGCUAUCUGAUGCAAGAGUAGGUAGAUGCCCAUGCUGAAUCUUGAAUGCUUCUUGUGAUUAAAAACCAUAGAUUGAUAAGAUAGAUGCCAUGUUUUAUUGGUUUGUGCGAGUCUUUUUGUUGUCGUCGAACUUCAUUGACCCUUAGAGAUUAGAUGUCAUACUUCUAAGAAUAGUUGGAUAUUAUACUCUACCAUAAGGUAGUAUUCAUGUCUUGGAGAACUUAUGUGUAUAAGUACUCUGCCAUAAGACUUAUAUGACUGGUUUUUCAACACCGGUUUAGUAGUUAGUAAUCGGAAGACUAGGAACUCAAAUAUAUAUGAUUGUGACAGUGAAGUUAGAAGCCCUAGCAUUCAUCCAUCAUUGUUUUACAACUUUUCAAAACAUUUUCUCAAUUAUCUUGUGUGACAUUCUCAAUUUGCUUGAUUUACUCUUUUCUUAUUGUAUACAAAAAUCACAAAAAUAUCUUCUUGUUUUCUUGUUAGUCGUUAGAGUAAUUUGGUCAUUAGUUAGAGUUGAAAGUUAGUUAUCUAUCCCUAGUUGGAACGACCUCGUAUUUGCAUAUAAGCUAUACUACAAACGAUUCGUGCACUUGCGAAGUUUUUAAAAUUUGACAACAGCAGUGUUCUAAAACAAGGUUGCCUAGGCGGCUUUUAGACGUUUUAAGUCUGCGCUUCAUCCUGAAAGCGCCAGUGAAUUUUCAAACCUUACUUGUACCAGGUUUUAAAUUGUAUAGUUUGUCGAAUCACCAUUUUAAAAUAACUUAAAGCUGGCAAAAAAACUAGCUAGAUGUGUUGGAAACUUUAAAUUGAGUAUUCUCAUGCUCGAUCCAUAAUUUUUUAAACACUAGUAGUCAAAUUUCUUCUCAAUCCUCCGAUCUCCUUGAUUACACCUUGGACAAAGUUGGAUGACAUCUUUUACAUAGUAUCGACAUGGCUUGUACACCGCAAAUUGAAUAAUAUAUUUAUGUAUUUUUAAUACAUAAAAAAUAUACUAAAAUAUGAAAUAAGUUCAUUACAUUGCCAAAAUUAUGUUCUAAAUUCAAUCUUUUUUUUCUUCUUUUUUGUCUAAAUUCAACACAUUGCAUAAGCAUAUUAAAAUAACAUUAAAGAGAAUUAAAUGGAAGUUAUUAAAGAGAAUCAAAUGACUAGUUCCGAUAUAUGUUGUAAAAAAAUUAGACAUCAACUUAAUAACACAACAACCCUCUAACACCUAAUAGACAAGAAAAUUUCAAUCAUUCCAUAAUUCAUCUAAACAUCUCUUUAUAAACUGUUAUAAACAUGAACGGUUUGAGUUCGACAAAAUUAUGUUCAUCCAUUGGUUUAAUCGAAUUUGAGUGCCUUAAUGAUAACCAAAUUAGCUGAAAUUUUGCAGAGAUGAUUUAUACGAGAUGUGAAAAUUCGAUUAAAAAGUAAGUGUAAAGCGGAAAUCCGCACAGUAAGAAUAAAUAAAGACCUCCUUAACCAAGAAAGCCUAUAUAUAUAUUAAAAAUUGAUGACGUGAUGUGUCGGAGGUUGAGGUGGCGUGUUGGACACGUGUCGGGCCGUGUCGGAGGUGUGUCGCCGUGUCAGGCGUGUCGGACACUCCGACACUCCAGAGGUGUGAAGUGUUCGUGCAACAUAGCUUUUAACUAUGAUUUUCAUAUCUAAAGUUGUUCUAGGACUCUAGGAGGUUUUCUUUGUAAUUUAUAUGGUAUUUUUCUUAUAUAUUAACUGAAAAUAAUUAAUUUAAGGAAAAAAUAAUUUACUAGUAGAAUGUAACAAUAAAAUCAAUGUUAUACCAUCAUAUAUAUAUGAACCUAUCUUCUAGUGUCGGAUAAGGGAUCUAUGAACUCUCCAGUACGUAUGAGACUGGAAAAUUGGUCACAGCGAUCAUGGAGACUCUAAAACUGACACAAUGCCAAUAAAGAUGAUAGAAUAACGUCGGUAUACCAAACGGCUAAUGAGUGAAUACACGUGAUUAUUUAAGCAAAAUACAACAUUAUUAAUUAUCACCGCUGCAUUAUGAUUAACUUUCUACAGAGUACAUGAUGUUGAUGAGUUUCUAUUGGAUUCUUGUAUGAUUGAAGAGCGGAUUUCAGCUAGUCAUUCAUUUUUGACAACACCAAUCGAUACAAUUCUAGCAUAAUAACUUAACAUAUAGCUAGUUAUUGCGGACUGGGGCUAUCAGGCUUUGAGCAAUAAUAACGUACAUGUGGUUGCGUGCAUGCUCACAGUGUAAAUUAGGUGACUAUCUAUCACGAUAUUUAUUUUGGUUCUUGAUUUGGUAUGGUAUGUCUGAUGGGUCCGAAGGACACAGAAGAAUGAAGAUACGGAGGAGUGAUACAACCCUUAAGCAGCGGUAACUCUAGAUUACUGGUUACUAGGUAGCUGGAAUUGACUUGAAUGAGUUUGAUCAAGAAAAAAAAAAAAAAAAAAAAAAAAACAAUGCGAGCUUACUGAAUCCAUGAGAAAGAUAAACUCGAUCUUAUAUUGAUAAAAUCAUGUUGAACUUAUAUGGUUCAACACAGAAACAAAAGCAAUGUUGGAAUACAGAAAAUAGAUAUAUGUAGUACUCAUACACGCUUAGGUCUCCCUUGAAUCAUUUCACUUUGGUUUCGAACCUUCCCUCCUCCAUGCUACUGAUUUUGUUUGAUAAAGCUAUUCGGUUUUUCUGAAGCUCAGUCGGGAGUUUAACGUCAGUUGCCAAACAAACCAUUUCAAGAAACCUUAUCAAAUACCAAGUAAUAUCGAUUUGCCACCAUUCGAAACCAUGUCGAGCUGAGUACUCAAAAGCAUGGUGAUUAUUAUGCCAACCUUCUCCAUGAGCUAGCAAUCCAAACAACCUAAACCACACAAUUCAUAAUUAGAUUUCAUUACAUGUAGAGAAAUAGAAACUAUAUAUAUACACUUUGUAAUCAUAUCAAGUGCGUAUACCAGUUGUUUUUGGACAAACCAGUAUCCCAUACUUGGUUUCGCCAUAUGUGGCAGAUCGAAUUUAUCGAAAGUGUUAUAUGGAGAACAAAUUUUGUUCUCACAGCCUACAAAUAAUCAAAAGAAUUAAACAUAGUUACGGAUUUGUUAAUAGAAAGGACGAUGCAUUUAGAUAUUAGCAAAUGUAUAUAAGAGAAGUUUAAUUACCAGUGCCCAAACUUAAUUAGGUAUUCCUCCUAUGCGAUAGAACACAACUCCACAAGCAAUACAGUGAAAAGGGUAAGUGUAAUGAAGAAACCUAUAGAAGCUUUGUUUCUUCAAAUCUCCAACAUUGUAUAGUUUUCCAUCAUACUGCACAAUUUCAAAUUUAAUUAACAAUAAGUACGUGUUAAUUCAACAAAAAAAUUAUGCAUGUAAUUAAUCAAGUGAGGAGAACAUGAGAUUUCUACGUACACUCCCAAAACGUUUACGAAAAUCAAAAAUCCCGCCAAUAUGACUAAACCAGAAACCCUUAAGAGGAGUAUGAGGGUCACUCGGCGUGUCUGUAAACUGGUGAUGACUCCUGUGCGAGCUAACCCAUUCUAAUGGACUUCCCUGUAAUAUAAACACCAAAAACCAACUUACAAAACUUUGUAAAUGAAGAUUGUAGUAACUAAAAGUGAAAAAGAAUGAAAGCUAGAGAAUAUAUGAUGAACCUGAAGUNAAUGAACGGCACAAUAGGNNNNNNNNNNNNNNNNNNNNCUACUACUCUCUACUCUCUCUCUCUCUCUCUCUCUCUCUCUCUCUCUCUCUCUCUCUCUCUCUCUCUCUCUCUCUCUCUCUCUCUCUCUCUCUCUCUCUCUAACUCAAACAAUUUGAAUACCUUUGUCUCGUCGAUCUCUCUCUCUCUCUCUCAUCUCAUUGAUAUGUCAUUUUCUUAUCAAAAUUGAUCUCGUUGCAAGAAACUAAUUCCUUUUGUAUGCUCUGUCUUCUCACUCCUCUCACAUAGUAUGUGAAUAUUCUAAUUCAAUUAAGUUCAAAGUCUACUAAUAUAUGAGUUAAGUCUACCAGUAACAUGAGCAAACUGACAUACAAAAAUAGACUUUCUGGAAAAUUAUUCUUCAUAAGAUGCAAAGUCUAGCUACUAGUAACAUGAAUUAAGUCUACCAGUAACAUGAGCUAACUAGCAUACAAAAAUAGACUUUCUGAAAAAUUGUUCACUCCUAAUGCUGGUCACUAGUCAUUAGUCACCUUAUUGACUACGUUGUCUAACUUGUUUUCUUUUCUGUCUACGUUUUGCACUAUUCACUCAAUAGCAACAUACACGGCUUAAAACAGACGAAAUACACGCUCAUGGUAACGUUUAGUGAAUUUUCAAACAUUGACUAUAUGCAGUUGAUGUGCUCAUAUUAUCUUAUAUUUCUAAGCGUCUUAUGCUUGAGAUUUGUGUUUAGUUCUCUUCUUUAUGAAUUAUUUACGUUAUUUUAGUGUUCUUGUAGGUUUGUGUCGUAUGGAGAAGAAAAUGAGCUAAAAUGCGCAAAUAAGGAUUCAAAGGCCACUGCAAUCCUAAGUCUCAAAAUCUGCAUGUGCAGAACAUCCAAACUUCUCUGAAUUACCGGGAAUUACUCAGAUCAAAUCAGACUAUGUGCCUUAUAUUAUUGGAAAACUACAUAUGUCUACUUUCUGUAGAAGUUUACGGAUCUCAAUUUCGAUACUUCUAGACCGAGUUAUGAUAGUUUGAAUGAAGAUAGGUCAAAUCAGAAAAUGUGCUCGGAUUUGCAAGCAUUUGUGGAGAACUCAAGUUCCAUGGCACAAGAUCAUCAACUCUAAUGCUUCAAGGGACAAUAAUGCAGAUGAGGAUUCAAGGAGUAAAUGUAUUCUUAGUUCUACAAUAGAUAUCUCAAGGUUUUCUCAUUCCAUAUCAAGAAAGGAGUCUGAAUCCAAGUCUUACAAAGAAACUUGAAGCCAAAGAUGAGUAGGAAAUCUCCCCUAUAUAAAGAGCACGAAUUUCAUAGAGAAGGGGCUUCCGGAGACGUGACAUAUUUGGAAGCUGUCAUCAUCACCAACCUUUCAUUCUUUUUCCCUUUUAGUCUUUUUAUGUUUUUCAUUGUUAUCAUCGUGUUUGUUAUGACUCUUAGUAACUAAAUCUUUUGUUAGGGUCAUAAUGAAUCCUUAGCAUGACUAUUUGAUGUUUUUAGUUGGAUGAUUACUUAUUUAUUGGAUUGAUGUUGAGUUUUUAAUCUCUAUAAGAAUUGUUGCUUAUUUCAAAAUACUAGAGACUCGCGACCUUUAGGGUUUUGUUUUAAGCUAUAUGAUGCAAGAGUAGGUAGAUGCCCAUGCUGAAUCUUGAAUGCUUCUUGUGAUUAAAAACCAUAGAUUGAUAAGAUAGAUGCCAUGUUUUAUUGGUUUGUGUGAGUCCUUUUGUUCUCAUCGAACUUCAUUGACCCUUAGAGAUUAGAUGCCAUACUUCUAAGAAUUGUUGGAUACUAUACUCUGUUAUAAGAUAGUAUUUAUGCUUUGGAGAACUUAUGUUUAUAAGUACUCUGCCAUAAGACUUAUAUGACGAAUUUUUCAACACCGGUUUAGUAGUUAGUAAUCGGAAGACUAGGAACUCGAAUAAGAUUGUGACGGUGAAGUUAGAAGCCCUAGCAUUCAUCCAUCAUUGUUUUACAACUUUUCAAAACAUCUUCUCAAUUAUCUUGUGUGACAUUCUCAAUUUGCUUGUUUUACUCUUUUCUUAUUGUUUACAAAAAUCACAAAAAUAUCUUCUUGUUUUCUUGUUAGUCGUUAGAGUAAUUUGGUCAUUAGUUAGAGUUGAAAGUUAGUUAUCUAUCCCUAGUUGGAACGACCUCGUAUUUGCAUAUAAGCUAUACUACAAACGAUUCGUGCACUUGCGAAGUUUUUAAAAUUUGACAACAGCAGUGUUCUAAAACAAGGUUGCCUAGGCGGCUUUUAGACGUUUUAAGUAUGAGCUUCAUCCUGAAAGGACCAGUGAAUUUUCAAACCUUACUUGUACCAGGUUUUAAAUUGUAUAGUUUGUCGAUUCACCAUUUUAAAAUAACUUAAAGCUGGCAAAAAAACUAGCUAGAUGUGUUGGAAACUUUAAAUUGAGUAUUCUCAUGCUCGAUCCAUAAUUUUUAAACACUAGUAGUCGAAUUUCUUCUCAAUCCUCCGAUCUCCUUGAUUACACCUUGGACAAAGUUGGAUGACAUCUUUUACAUAGUAUCGACAUGGCUUGUACACCGCAAAUUGAAUAAUAUAUUUAUGUAUUUUUAAUACAUAAAAAAUAUACUAAAAUAUGAAAUAAGUUCAUUACAUUGCCAAAAUUAUGUUCUAAAUUCAAUUUUUUUUUUGUCUAAAUUCAACACAUUGCAUAAACAUAUUAAAAUAACAUUAAAGAGAAUUAAAUGGAAGUUAUUAAAGAGAAUCAAAUGACUAGUUCCGAUAUAGGUUGUAAAAAAAUUAGGCAUCAACUUAGUAACACAACAACCCUCUAACACGUACCUAAUAGACAAGAAAAUUUCAAUCAUUCCAUAAUUCAUCUAAACCUCUCUUUAUAAACUGUUAUAAACAUGAACGGUUCGAGUUCGACAAAAUUAUGUUCAUCCAUUGGUUUAAUCGAAUUUGAGUGUCUUAAUGAUAACCAAAUUAGCUGAAAUUUUACAAAGAUGAUCUAUACAUUAGUAUCUAAAUAUUAGACGGUGGAGAUGUGAAAAUUCGAUUGAAAAGUGAGUGUAAAGCGGAAAUCCGCACCGUAAAAAUAAAUAAAUACCUCCUUAGCCAAGAAAGCUUGUAUAUAUAUAUUAAAAAUUGAUGACGUGGCUUGUCAGAGGUUGAGAUGGCAUGUCGGUCAACGUGUCGGAAAAGUCAACAUUUUCCGACAUGUGUCAGAGGUGUGUCGUUGUGUCGGACACUCCGACAGUCCAGGGGUGUGAAGCGUCCGUGCAACAUAGCUUUUAACUAUGAUUUUCAUAUCUAAAGUUGUCCUACGACUCUAGGAGGUUCUCUUUGUAAUUUAUAUGGUAUUUUUCUUAUAUAUUAACUGAAAAUAAUUUAUUUAAAGAAAAAUUAUUUUACUAGUAGAAUGUAACAAUAAAAUCAAUGUUAUACCAUCAUAUAUAUAUAUAUAUAUAUGUGAACCUAGCUUCUAGUGUCGGAUAAGGGAGCUAUGAACUCUCCAGUACGUAUGAGACUGAAAAAUUGGUCAUAGCGAUCAUGGAGACUCUAAAACCGACACAAUGCCAAUAAAGAUGGUAGAAUAACGCCGGUAUACCAAACGGCUAAUGGCUACAAACCCGCGAAGGAUGUACAUGCAUGUGCACAAAUAUUCAACUCCCCCUCUUGAUGAGUGAAUACACGUGAUUAUUUAAGUAAAAUAAGACAUUAUUAAUUAUCACCGGUGCAUUAUGAUUAACUUUCUACAGAGUACAUGAUGUUGAUGAGUUUCUAUUGGAUUCUUGUAUCAUUGAAGUGCGGAGUUCAGCUAGUCAUUCAUUUUUGACAACACAAAUCGAUACAUUUCUAGCAUAAGAAACUUAAUAUAUAGCUAGUUAUUGCGGACUGGGGCUAUCAGGCUUUGAGCAAUAAUAACGUACAUGUGGUUGCGUGCAUGGUCACAGAGUAAAUUAGGUGACUAUCUACCACGAUAUUUAUUUUGGUUCUUGAUUUGGUAUGGUAUGUCUGAUGGGUCCGAAGGACACAGAAGAAUGAAGAUACGGAGGAGUGAUACAACCCUUAAGCAGCGGUAACUCUAGAUUACUUAGAAGAUGACUGGUUACUAGGUAGCUGGAAUUGACUUGAAUGAGUUUGAUCAGAAAANNNNNNNNNNNNNNNNNNNNGAGAAAGAUAAACUCGAUCUUAUAUUGAUAAAAAAUCAUGUUGAACUUAUUUCACUUUGGUUCAACACAGAAACAAAAGCAAUGUUGUAAUACAGGAAAUAGAUAUAUGUAGUACUCGUACACGCUUAGGUCUCCCUUGAAUCAUUUGACUUUGGUUUCGAACCUUCCCUCCUGCUCCAUGCUACUGACUUUGUUUGAUAAAGCUUUUCGGUUUUUCUGAAGCUCAGUCGGGAGCUUAACGUCAGUUGCCAAACCAACCAUUUCAAGAAACCUUAUCAAAUACCAAGUAAUAUCGAUUUGCCACCAUUCGAAACCUUGUCGAGCUGAGUACUCAAAAGCAUGGUGAUUAUUAUGCCAACCUUCUCCAUGAGCUAGCAAUCCAAACAACCUAAACCACACAAUUCAUAAUUAGAUUUCAUUACAUGUAGAGAAAUAGAAACUAUAUAUAUACUUUGUAAUCAUAUCAAGUGCGUAUACCAGUUGUUUUUGGACAAAUCACCAGUAUCCCAUACUUGGUUUCCCCAUAUGUGGCAGAUCGAAUUUAUCGAAAAUGUUACAUGGAGAAGAAAUAUUGUUCUCACCGCCUACAAAUAAUCAAAAGAAUUAAACAUAGUUACGGAUUUGUUACAUAGAAAGGACGAUGCAUUUAGAUAUUAGCAAAUGUAUAUAAGAGAAGUUUAAUUACCAGUGCCCAAACUAAAUAAGGCAUUCCUCCUAUGCGAUAGAGCACAACUCCACAAGCAAUACAGUGAUAAGGGUAAGUGUAAUGAAGAAACUUAUAGAAGCUUUGUUUCUUCAAAUCUCCAACAUUGUAUAGUUUUCCAUCAUACUGCACAAUUUCAAAUUUAAUUAACAAUAAGUACGUGUUAAUUUAAUAUAAAAAAAAGUAGUGCUAAAGGGCCUUAAUAAAACCAAAUAUUUGUGGCCUUAAUCCUAUGUGUCAUGCAUAGUAAGUAAAUAAAAUACUUAUUUCCUAUUCCACGUACAUAAUAUUUCUUGCCAAAUCAUAAGAUUGCAUUACCAAUUUUACCAUUUCCAUUUUCUUUUAGAUCUUAAGAAGAAGGUAAAUCAAUGAUAUUAAUGAAGUUUUAUUAAAUAAUGGAAACAAAUAUUGCAUAUUAAUAACAACCUUUAAUUAUGUAUAAAUCUAAGGAAUGUUUCUUAUAUAUUGAAUUAACAUGUUUUUCAAUUUUAAUUAUUUUUAUCAAAUAAACUCUAAACUCUAACCCUAGUUCGUCCAAAAACUAAAUUCAGAUUAUAAUUAUUCAAAAUUAUCUAUAAUUCGUCCAACAAAAAAAUUUAUAUACAAAUAAUUCCUCUAAAUGAUUUACAUACAGAUUAUUGUUUUAAUUCGUCCAACAAAAUUAUAUAAUAUACUCUUUGUAAAUAUUAUAAUAUAAAGUUAGGGGGAAAUUUUGAUUUUUUAUAUUUCUAUUUAAUUACAUAUUUAGAAAAAGAAAGCUAAAAUAGUUUUUUUUUAAUGGAAAACUAAAAAUUUAGAUCUAUUGUUCGGAAUGGUAAGAUGGUCUUUUUACUUAAGUAUUAUAUGACAUAAGAUUUUAAAUAUGUUAUGUGUCUAAAUAUUUGGUAUGCCAUAUAGGUUUAAAGCCUAAAAUCAUUUUCCCAAAAAAAUUAUGCAUGUAGUAAUUAAUCAAGUGAGGAGAACAUGAGAUUUCUACGUACACUCCCAAAACGUUUACGAAAAUCAAAAAUCCAGCCAAUAUGACUAAACCAGAAACCCUUAAGAGGAGUAUGAGGGUCACUCGGCGUGUCUGUAAACUGGUGAUGACUCCUGUGCGAGCUAACCCAUUCUAAUGGACUUCCCUGUAAUAUAAACACCAAAAACCAACUUCAAAACUUUAUAAUGAAGAUUGUAGUAACUAAAAGUGAAAAGAAUGAAAGCUAGAGAAUAUAUGAUGAACCUGAAGUGAAUGAACGGCACAAUAGGCGAAGAAGUAUUCCAGCCAUUUGGGAAGCUUGAAGCUUUUGUGGGCGAGAUUUCUAUGGAAAGAUAGAGUUACUCCCACACCGGUGACAUAGUAGAGUGCUACACCCAACCAAAACGCAGACCAGGUGAAGUAAAAUGGCGCCAGAAGAGCAAUGAGAUGAACAACAGAGAGGGUGAUGACACUAGCGAUGUCGACGCCAUUCCAUUGCCUCCCCAGAAAAUAUACCGGCUUCUGCACCACCCAAAGCAGCCUUGCCAUUUUCUUCAAGCUAAGCUUAUAUUAUCUGCUUUGCU
rnacentral:lncRNA from 1 species